GAUGAACGCUGGCGGCGUGCUUAACACAUGCAAGUCGAACGGAAAGGCCCUGCUCUUGUGGGGUGCUCGAGUGGCGAACGGGUGAGUAACACGUGAGUAACCUGCCCUUGACUUUGGGAUAACUUUAGGAAACUGGGGCUAAUAUCGGAUAGGAGCUCCUGCUGCAUGGUGGGGGUUGGAAAGUUUCGGCGGUUGUGGAUGGACUCGCGGCUUAUCAGCUUGUUGGUCGGGUAGUGGCUGACCAAGGCUGUGACGGGUAGGCGGCCUGAGAGGGUGACCGGCGACAAUGGGCCUGAGGGACGCACCAGACUCCUACGGGAGGCAGCAGGGGGGAAUAUGGCGCAGUGGGGGGAAGCGUGAGACAGCAACGCUGCGUGCGUGAUGACGUCCUUCGGGGGGUGAACCGCUUUCGCCGGUGACGAGGCGUGAGUGACGGUAAUGGGUAAAGAAGCACCGGCUAACUACGUG
rnacentral:rRNA from 1 species